GACGAACGCUGGCGGCGUGCUUAACACAUGCAAGUCGAACGGAAAGGCCCUGCUUUUGGGGGGUGCUCUAGUGGCGAACGGGUGAGUAACACGUGAGUAACCUGCCCUUGACUUUGGGAUAACUUCAGGAAACUGGGUCUAAUACCGGAUAGGAGCUCCUGCUGCAUGGUGGGGGUUGGAAAGUUUCGGCGGUUGGGGAUGGACUCGCGGCUUAUCAGCUUGUUGGUGGGGUAGUGGCUUACCAAGGCUUUGACGGGUAGCCGGCCUGAGAGGGUGACCGGCCACAUUGGGACUGAGCUACGGCACAGACUCCUCCGGGAGGCAGCAGUGGGGAAUAUUGCACAAUGGGCGGAAGCCUGAUGCAGCACAGCCGCGUGCGGGAUGACGGCCUUCGGGUUGUAAACCGCUUUCGCCUGUGUCGAAGCGUGAGUGACGGUAAUGGGUAAAGAAGCACCGGCUAACUACGUG
rnacentral:rRNA from 1 species